UAUAUAUAUAUAUAUAUAUAUAUAUAUAUUUGGAGACAGAAUCUCACUCUGUGCCCAGGCUGGAGUGCAGUGGCGCCAUCUUGGCUCACUGCAAGCUCCGCCUCCCGGCUUCCCGCCAUUCUCCUGCCUCAGCCUCCGGAGUAGCUGGGACUACAGGCGCCCGCCACCAUGCUUGGCUGUCAAAUUAGCUAUUUUUAAGAAUUGUACAUGGCGACACGCAGCAGCAUGAAGAGGAGCUGUGGGGCCAGUGAGAGAAGCUGCAGCCUGUUGAGACUCCACGAGAUUAAAGAUAUGAAAAGAGGAAAUAUGCAUGAAUGCCCGCGUGGAGAACCACCCCCACCUGCUGCUCCCGCUCUAAUGAUCACGCCCAUUAUCAACUGAGGGAUGGCUCUGUGCCUUGUCCUUGCAUUACACGGACCAAGAACACUUCACAGGACUCAGAGAGGAAAGUGAGGAAACAACAUUCACAGACAAAGGACAAUUGAGCAUGAGCUCCAGGGGACCAUCAGGAAAACAUUUUCAGAAGUUGUGAAGAGUAGGUUGUGUAAGUCACGGAGCAGAGCAGAGGCCUGUGGAUAAGGCACCAAGGACAAGGAAGACUCUGUCGGUUGAUGAUCGUGAGCAGUGCUGCUAGGUCACUUCAAAAUGGAGACGUGAUGCCUCAAUCUUAUUCUCAGAACUGAUGUCACAACAUCGUACAAAGCCCU